GGGCUUGACAUCCCACGAACCUGCCCGAAAAGGUGGGGUGCCCGCAAGGGAGCGUGGAGACAGGUGGUGCAUGGCUGUCGUCAGCUCGUGUCGUGAGAUGUUGGGUUAAGUCCCGCAUCGAGCGCAACCCUCACCCCUAGUUGCCACCGGGUUAAGCCGAGCACUCAAGGGGAACUGCCAGCGUCAAGCUGGAGGAAGGCGGGGAUGACGUCAAGUCAUCAUGCCCCUUACGCCCUGGGCUACACACGUGCUACAAUGGCCAGUACAAAGGGACGCGAGACUGCGAAGUGGAGCUAAUCCCAAAAAGCUGGUCUAAGUUCAGAUUGCAGUCUGCAACUCGACUGCGUGAAGGAGGAAUCGCUAGUAAUCGCGUAUCAGCCCGGCGCGGUGAAUACGUUCCCGGGCCUUGUACACACCGCCCGUCACACCACGAAAGCUGUCUGUACUCGAAGUCGCUGAG
rnacentral:rRNA from 1 species